rnacentral:rRNA from 1 species
GAACGCUGGCGGCGUGCCUAACACAUGCAAGUCGAACGGAGAAUUUUAUUUCGGUAGAAUUCUUAGUGGCGAACGGGUGAGUAACGCGUAGGCAACCUGCCCUUUAGACGGGGACAACAUUCCGAAAGGAGUGCUAAUACCGGAUGUGAUCAUCUUGCCGCAUGGCAGGAUGAAGAAAGAUGGCCUCUACAAGUAAGCUAUCGCUAAAGGAUGGGCCUGCGUCUGAUUAGCUAGUUGGUAGUGUAACGGACUACCAAGGCGAUGAUCAGUAGCCGGUCUGAGAGGAUGAACGGCCACAUUGGGACUGAGACACGGCCCAAACUCCUACGGGAGGCAGCAGUGGGGAAUCUUCCGCAAUGGACGAAAGUCUGACGGAGCAACGCCGCGUGAGUGAUGAAGGAUUUCGGUCUGUAAAGCUCUGUUGUUUAUGACGAACGUGCAGUGUGUGAACAAUGCAUUGCAAUGACGGUAGUAAACGAGGAAGCCACGGCUAACUACGUGCCAGCAGCCGCGGUAAUACGUAGGUGGCGAGCGUUGUCCGGAAUUAUUGGGCGUAAAGAGCAUGUAGGCGGCUUAAUAAGUCGAGCGUGAAAAUGCGGGGCUCAACCCCGUAUGGCGCUGGAAACUGUUAGGCUUGAGUGCAGGAGAGGAAAGGGGAAUUCCCAGUGUAGCGGUGAAAUGCGUAGAUAUUGGGAGGAACACCAGUGGCGAAGGCGCCUUUCUGGACUGUGUCUGACGCUGAGAUGCGAAAGCCAGGGUAGCGAACGGGAUUAGAUACCCCGGUAGUCCUGGCCGUAAACGAUGGGUACUAGGUGUAGGAGGUAUCGACCCCUUCUGUGCCGGAGUUAACGCAAUAAGUACCCCGCCUGGGGAGUACGGCCGCAAGGUUGAAACUCAAAGGAAUUGACGGGGGCCCGCACAAGCGGUGGAGUAUGUGGUUUAAUUCGACGCAACGCGAAGAACCUUACCAAGGCUUGACAUUGAUUGAACGCUCUAGAGAUAGAGAUUUCCCUUCGGGGACAAGAAAACAGGUGGUGCAUGGCUGUCGUCAGCUCGUGUCGUGAGAU